ACAACUAAAUCUUUCCUCUUUCAAUUCUAAAUCUAUAAUUUUCUUCUCCAAUCAAAUUCGUUCGACAAUUGCAACGAAUUUGACCAGAUUUCGCGUCAUCUAACAGGUUCUCACAUCUUCUUUGUCAAUGACUCCAUUGAAGAGAAAGAGAGAGCUUUGAAGAGGGAGAUGAAGGAUGGUUUCGGUUUCUGAUUUUGAAAUCAAAAUUGGAGGAGAGAGAAAUAAAGAAGGAGUUGAAGGGUAUGACCGAUUAUACCCGGUUAGUGCAUAUUAGGGUCCAUUCACAACAAACAUAAUGCAAAGGUUGGAUUAAUUUUUAAUUUUCGAAA